UUUUCAUGAAGCCUAGCGAUUGAAAGUUAGUGGCGGACGGGUGAGUAACGCGUGGGUAACCUGCCAUAUACAGGGGGAUAACACUUAGAAAUAGGUGCUAAAACCGCAUAAGCGCACAGCUUCGCAUGAAGCAGUGUGAAAAACUCCGGUGGUAUAUGAUGGACCCGCGUCUGAUUAGCCAGUUGGCAGGGUAACGGCCUACCAAAGCGACGAUCAGUAGCCGGCCUGAGAGGGUGAACGGCCACAUUGGGACUGAGACACGGCCCAAACUCC
rnacentral:rRNA from 1 species